GGGAAGCCGUGAGAUGAGGAGGCGCCGAGCGCGCCUGUAAGCUUCCCUCCUCCGUCCCCCUUUCCCCCCCGCCCACCUCCACCCCGCAGCACCUCCCUUUCCCUUUCUGCACAAGGGCCUCGCAAGUUGGCUUGCCUAAACUAGAUUUGGAACAUUUCAAACUACUGGAGAUCUGCCAUUUUACAGUAUUUCAAUCGGAAAGAACCAGGUUUUCAAAUAAUGGAAGAGCCCAAGACUUCUAAAAGUGAAAAUCAUGAACCAAAGAAAAAUGCUAUUUGUGAAGAAAGCAAAGCAGUUAAAAUUAUAACUAAUCAAACCUUGAAAGCUAGAAAUGCCAUGCCCAUGACGGCCAUGGGGACCAGUUCUCCGACUCGGCUCAGUAGUGGAGACAACAGGCAGAAUGACACCUGUAUAGAAAAAGCAGAAGUUCAAUCAUGUAAAGCACAUGCUGCCGGUGGUCCAGGCUCUAAGGAUUUGGGGCUAGUUCUUCGAGAUCAUAGUCAUUGUAAAGCAAAACAGCCGCCAAACUCGCCGGUGAAAGUUCAAAAGGCAUGUUCCUCCCAGGCAAAAUUAGAAAAGACAAAAACAGAGAACUUACCAAAGUCACCUAAUUUACCAGUGAAGACAGAGAAAGCGCCCUGUUUACCAGCAGCAUCGGAGAAGGCACUUAGUUCACAGCGGAGAGAACAGAAAGCGCCCACUUCCCAGACGAAGUCCGAAAAGGAAAAGGUCCCCAGCUCGCCAGUGGCAGUGGACAAGGUGCCCACUUCACUGUUGAAAGAAAACAUGAAACAGACGGAUUUGCAACAGACUGGACAGAAAACUAAAAGCUCCCUUAUUUCGGCAACCAAAAUGAAUAGUGAAGAUCUACAGGGAGAAAAGCCUCCUCUGGAAAACGCCCCACCGACCCAGAAGCAGCAGCAGACAGGGACGGAUCCUACUGGUGACUCUGAUGACAGCGCGUCAGGGGCUGAAGACGCGGCGGAGGAUCCGGAUAAAAGGAAGAAUGAUGAAGGCACUAAAGAUGACCCUGCAGAGAUGGACUAUCUAGAAAAUGCCACUGUGACCGACGAGUCGGCCCUGACGCCCGAGCAGAGGUUAGGUUUGCAGCAAGCAGAAGCGCGCUUGGAAAGAGACCACAUUUUUCGGCUUGAAAAGCGAUCACCGGAAUAUACCAAUUGUCGAUAUCUAUGCAAACUUUGCUUAAUUCACAUUGAAAACAUCCAAGGAGCACAUAAACACAUAAAAGAGAAACGACACAAGAAAAAUAUUUUGGAAAAGCAGGAAGAAAGUGAGCUCCGGUCUCUUCCACCUCCUUCCCCUGCCCACUUGGCUGCUUUGAGUUUUGCCGUUGUUGAGUUAGCAAAAGAACAAGGAAUAACAGACGAUGACCUCAGAGUCCGCCAGGAAAUUGUGGAGGAAAUGUCAAAGGUUAUAAUGGCGUGUUUACCAGAAUGUUCCCUGAGGUUGUAUGGCUCAUCUCUGACAAAGUUUGCUCUGAAGAGCAGUGAUGUUAAUAUAGAUAUAAAAUUUCCCCCCAAGAUGAGUCAUCCAGAUCUUUUAAUACAAGUCCUUGGAAUUUUGAAGAAAAGUGUAUUAUAUGUAGAUGUGGAAUCAGAUUUUCACGCUAAAGUUCCUGUUGUGGUGUGCAAAGAUCGGAAAAGCGGUUUACUUUGCAGAGUGAGUGCAGGAAAUGAUAUGGCGUGUCUCACCACCGACUUACUCGCUGCUCUCGGCAGAGUGGAGCCCGUUUUCACUCCCUUGGUGUUAGCCUUUCGCUACUGGGCGAAGCUGUGCUACAUUGACUCCCAGACUGACGGGGGAAUCCCUUCUUACAGCUUUGCUUUAAUGGUGAUGUUUUUCCUUCAGCAAAGGAAGCCCCCUCUUCUUCCUGGCUUACUUGGAAGCUGGAUUGAAGGCUUUGACCCACAAAGAAUGGAUGACUUCCAGCUGAAGGGCGUAGUGGAAGAGAAGUUUGUGAAGUGGGAGUGUAACUCAAGUAGUGGGACUGAGAGAAACGUAGCUGCUGAUGAAAACAAGGCCAAGGCAGAGCAACCAAAAGAUGACGCCAAGAAGACAGACAGCCACAGCCAGAGCGCUGCCAGGAGGGCAAAGCAUGGCAAAUCUCCUUUAACAUUGGAAGCACCAAAUCAGGUAUCGUUGGGACAGUUGUGGUUGGAGCUGCUAAAAUUCUACACACUGGAUUUUGCUUUGGAGGAAUAUGUCAUAUGUGUACGGAUACAAGAUAUUUUAACAAGAGAGAAUAAAAACUGGCCAAAGAGACGAAUAGCCAUCGAAGAUCCAUUCUCAGUCAAGAGGAAUGUUGCAAGGAGCUUAAACAGCCAGCUUGUCUACGAAUAUGUUGUGGAGAGAUUCAGGGCAGCUUAUCGGUAUUUUGCCUGUCCUCAGAAGAAGGGUGGAAAUAAGUCCACAGUGGAUCUCAAGAAGAAAGAGAAGGGGAAAAUAACCAGCAAGAAACCAGUGAAACUGGACAGUGUGACUACCAACUGCAGCCUUCCGCUUGGGGAAAACACAGAAGGAGUAAAUACAGAAAGAGGUCAACCUCCCAAGCACGCAGAGACCGAGUCUCCAUCUCAGAGAUGUGUCGCCGACGGUGACGGUGCGGUGGUGAGUGAACUUGCUUCGUCUGACCAGGGACAGGAGUCGUCACCUCGCUCCACUGCCAGCGAGUACAGCGAACCUGAGCCGCAAGCACUUAACAGAAAAGGUGACUUAACACCUUCAGAAGCUUGUUUAAAGGAGGCGCUCGGCCAGCACAACUGCUCCGGGUCCCUUGACUCAUGUGACUCCUCUGGGACACAUUGCAGAUUGAAGUUAGGAACAGAAGGCUCGCAUCGGACUGCGCACCCCGACAAGCCUGCUACCUCUCCCUGCCCCCCAGUCCCAGAAGUCACCUCCCAGCCCAACGACGGUGACGCCCUCCCCGCCCAGGAACUACAUUAUGUGUUUGAUAAGUUUAUUUUGACUUCUGGUAAGCCACCAACAAUAGUAUGCAGUAUCUGCAAAAAAGAUGGCCAUUCAAAGAAUGAUUGCCCAGAGGAUUUCAGGAAAAUCGAUCUCAAACCUCUACCACCAAUGACAAACCGAUUUCGAGAAAUACUUGACUUAGUAUGUAAAAGAUGUUUUGAUGAAUUAUCACCACCUUUCUCUGAACAACACAACAGGGAGCAAAUUUUAAUUGGCUUGGAAAAGUUUAUUCAAAAAGAAUAUGAUGAAAAGGCAAGAUUGUGUUUAUUUGGCUCUUCUAAGAAUGGAUUUGGAUUUCGUGAUAGUGAUCUGGAUAUUUGUAUGACUCUGGAAGGCCAUGAAAAUGCAGAGAAAUUAAACUGCAAGGAAAUAAUUGAAAAUUUGGCAAAGAUUCUUAAGAGACACCCAGGUUUAAGAAACAUUUUGCCUAUAACUACUGCCAAAGUGCCUAUAGUAAAAUUUGAACACAGGCGAAGUGGAUUAGAAGGUGAUAUCAGUUUAUAUAACACGUUGGCUCAACAUAACACAAGAAUGCUAGCUACUUAUGCAGCCAUUGAUCCUAGAGUACAAUACUUGGGAUACACUAUGAAAGUGUUUGCUAAGCGAUGUGACAUUGGAGAUGCUUCCAGAGGCAGUUUAUCUUCAUAUGCAUAUAUCCUCAUGGUGCUGUAUUUCCUGCAGCAAAGAAAGCCGCCCGUGAUCCCGGUUCUACAAGAGAUCUUUGAUGGAAAACAGAUUCCACAGAGAAUGGUUGAUGGAUGGAAUGCUUUUUUCUUUGACAAGACAGAAGAACUGAAGAAGCGCCUGCCCUCCCUGGGGGAGAACACAGAAUCGCUAGGCGAGCUGUGGCUGGGGCUGCUGCGCUUUUACACCGAGGAGUUUGACUUCAAGGAGUAUGUGAUAAGCAUUCGGCAGAAGAAGUUACUGACAACUUUUGAAAAGCAGUGGACUUCCAAGUGCAUUGCAAUCGAAGACCCUUUUGACUUGAAUCAUAACCUUGGUGCUGGAGUUUCUAGGAAAAUGACAAAUUUCAUUAUGAAAGCAUUUAUCAAUGGAAGGAAACUUUUUGGUACCCCCUUUUAUCCACUCAACGGCAGAGAAGCUGAGUACUUCUUUGAUUCAAGAGUAUUAACUGACGGAGAACUGGCUCCCAACGACCGGUGUUGCCGCGUGUGUGGGAAGAUAGGCCACUACAUGAAAGACUGUCCCAAAAGGAAAAGCAGUUUACUGUUUAGACUAAAGAAGAAAGACAGCGAAGAAGAGAAGGAAGGAAACGAAGAGGAGAAAGACUCGCGGGACCUUCUAGAUCCCCGAGACCUGCGGUGCUUUAUCUGCGGAGACGCGGGGCACGUGCGCAGGGAGUGCCCCGAGGUCAAGCUGGCGCGCCAGAGGAACAGCAGCGUGGCAGCAGCCCAGCUGGUCCGCAACCUUGUCAAUGCUCAACAGGUGGCAGGUUCAGCCCAGCAACCGGGUGACCAGCCCAUGAGGACGAGACAGUCCUCAGAAUGUUCUGAUUCACCCUCUUAUUCCCCUCAGCCUCAGCCCUUUCCGCAGAACGCUCCCCAGCCAGCCGCCCUGGCGCCGCCUCCGUCCCAGCCAGUGACCCAGCCUAAGCUUGGCCCUCCUCAGCAAGGAGCCCAGCCCCCCCAUCAGGUCCAGAUGCCCAUGUAUAACUUCGCCCAGUCUCCACCAGCUCAGUAUUCGCCCAUGCACAACGUGGGGCUGCUGCCGAUGCACCCCCUUCCGAUCCCCGCCCCGUCCUGGCCCAUGCACGGCCCGGUGCUGCACUCGGCCCCCGGCAGCGCCCCCAGCAGCAUCGGCCUCAGCGACCCCAGCAUCAUCUUCGCACAGCCCGCUGCCCGGCCCAUGGCCAUCCCCGGCUCCUCCCACGACGGACAUUGGCCUCGCUCGGUGGCCCCCAACUCCCUCGUGAACAACGGUGCAGUGGGAAGCUCGGAGCCACGCUUUCGAGGACUGACUCCCCCAAUUCCCUGGGAACAUGCACCACGUCCCCACUUCCCCCUUGUCCCAGCUUCGUGGCCUUAUGGUUUGCAUCAAAACUUCAUGCAUCAGGGAAAUCCGAGAUUUCAGCCCAAACCUUUCUAUGCUCAAGACAGAUGUGCCACCCGCCGGUGUCGAGAGCGCUGUCCGCACCCCCCGAGAGGAAACGUGUCGGAGUAGCGCCGUCCACUCCCCUGCAGCUGUCUCCCGACGCACAGCGCCUCCAGCCCCGUGUGUACCUCACUGUCAGCUACCCAACAGAAAACGUGACAUUUAAUGGAAAGCAAAAUAAAUCAGAUGAAAACCUGAAGGAGGAAUGUCAUCGGAGUACAGCAGAGACGCGAACCCUAACUUCCGCCGGCUUCCUCUGCUAGGCGGCAGCGUAGCCAGGCAGCUCUGUGCAGGGAGGCUCGACCCACCACGAGAGAGGCGCCAAGCAAGGCCUGGGUACGAUACCUGGGGACUUGGAGCGGGAUCUGUGUCUGCGCUCGCGGGACCUGCUCCGGUGGCGCCGGGGACUCUUGCUCCUAUGUCGUUCUCGGCGGGGGGAAGGGCUAUGGAAAAGAAGGGUCAGCCCACCAGAAACCAAACCCCUCCCAAAGCCGUCUCCACCUGAAAUGACUACGGGGCCCACCUUCGUCUUUUGGGGGAUCGACUCCGCCUGCAGAGGGGAGAAAGAAACAGUCUAGGUUAGUGCCCCAGUGGAAGUUGCACAAAUGAGCCCACUUGGGAAGGGGAAGGUGCUGGGGAUGGAAAGCAGUGGCCCCGAUCCCCACUCCGCACUCUGAACCUGUAGCACCCUUCCACUCUUUACGCGCUAAGACUGGCCACGUGACUCCCGCUGGCUAACAGGCUAUUUGCAGAUGAGCUAGCAGAAGCCGGGACUGAAAAAGCACGUGGCUGCUGAACAUGGCCCCGUGUUGAGAUGGCAGUGAGCUCGACCUCCUGGAGGAGGCAGGGCACCGUGUCCCUGCUGCGGCCGGCUCCCGGAGCCAGACGCAGUCACAGAGCAGGCAGGCAAACAGCUCCUGCUCGAAACUGCAAGCCCGGGUACAGGUUCAUUCCCUCAGUACACACUUACAGAAACGGGUAGGCUGGCUGGACACGUUGCCCCUCCUGACAGCCACACUCCUAGGUGCACUGCUUAAAACCACCCCAGCGGCUCCGCUCACCUCCGGGGAGAGCGGCUGCGGCUGCGGCGGUAGCGCAGCGCGGGAGAGCGCCGGGGCUUGUCCAGGUCUCGGUAGCUUCUGCGGCGGUGGUCAGGGGACGGCACUCUUUCCAGCUUGACGAGACAGAACAGGGCGCAGCUGAUUACGGAGGCACCCAGCAGGGAUGGCACACCCUCUCCCACUCUAUCUCUAAGAGAGCUGAGAGCACAGGAAGCUGAGGGCACAGGGGGACAGCAGUCUCUCUAUCCACGCAGCACGGUCACCCGGGACUGCAGGAGAAGGAGGGUAAUUCUACUUAUGCCCUUAGAAAGCUGGACCUCCCUCGGGUGGGAAAGACAUCAACAACUUUAAAUAAAAGCCACCGUUU